UACGAAGGGUGCAAGCGUUACUCGGAAUCACUGGGCGUAAAGCGUGCGUAGGCGGUUCGUUAAGUCUGCUGUGAAAGCCCUGGGCUCAACCUGGGAACUGCAGUGGAUACUGGCGGACUAGAGUGUGAUAGAGGAUGGUGGAAUUCCCGGUGUAGCGGUGAAAUGCGUAGAGAUCGGGAGGAACACCAGUGGCGAAGGCGGCAUCCUGGCCAUGUCCUGACGCUCAGGGGCGAAAGCGUGGGGAGCAAACCGG
rnacentral:rRNA from 1 species